UACAGGGGGCUCGAGCGUUAGUCGGAAUCACUGGGCUUAAAGGGUGCGUAGGCGGCUCGCCAAGUGCUUUGUGAAAUCCCACAGCUCAACUGUGGAACAGCAGGGCAAACUGGCGAGCUUGAGGCAGGUAGGGGCCGGAAGAACAGUUGGUGGAGCGGUGAAAUGCGUAGAUAUCAACUGGAAUGCCGAUGGGGAAGCCGUCCGGCUGGGCCUGUCCUGACGCUGAGGCACGAAAGCCAGGGGAGCGAACGGG
rnacentral:rRNA from 1 species